AGAGGGUUUUUUCGUCCACUCCCUAUAUCUUCUCCACUCCCUUCGAACCCAAAAACCCUAGAUCCAAGGUUUUCCCCCCAUUUCCCCCAUUCUUCCCCCAAGCCAUUUUCAAUUUCUUCUAUUUUUUUUCAGAGGCCUCGUAAAUCGCAGUUAUCACACACACUCUCUCUCUCUCUCCUGCUGAGUUUCCGCUUAAAGAAUGGGUGAUGUCAGAGACAACGAUGGGUACGAAGAGGAGCUCGUCGACUACGAAGAGGAGGACCAGAACGCCCCCAACUCCGUUUCCGCCAAGCCCUCUGGCGAUACCGUCAAAAAGGGAUAUGUUGGCAUCCAUAGUUCAGGAUUCAGAGACUUCCUAUUGAAGCCGGAGCUUCUUCGAGCAAUUGUGGAUUCUGGAUUCGAACAUCCUUCAGAAGUUCAACAUGAGUGCAUCCCCCAAGCUAUCUUAGGAAUGGAUGUUAUUUGUCAAGCAAAAUCUGGGAUGGGAAAAACUGCCGUCUUUGUUCUAUCAACCCUUCAGCAAAUAGAUCCAGUACCUGGUCAGGUUGCUGCUCUUAUUCUUUGCCACACGAGAGAAUUGGCUUACCAGAUUUGUCAUGAAUUUGAGAGGUUCAGUACUUAUUUGCCGGACCUGAAGGUUGCAGUUUUCUAUGGAGGAGUCGGUAUCAAGGUUCACAAAGAUUUGCUAAAAAACGAAUGUCCUCACAUUGUUGUUGGUACACCUGGGAGAGUAUUAGCUUUGGCAAGAGACAAAGAGCUUGGACUGAAGAAUGUCAGACAUUUUAUUCUUGAUGAAUGCGAUAAGAUGCUUGAGUCACUUGACAUGAGGAGAGAUGUGCAGGAGAUCUUUAAGUUGACUCCUCAUGACAAGCAGGUGAUGAUGUUUUCAGCAACACUAAGCAAGGAAAUCCGCCCUGUUUGCAAGAAGUUUAUGCAAGAUCCCAUGGAAAUCUAUGUAGAUGAUGAAGCCAAAUUGACUCUUCAUGGUCUCGUACAGCACUACAUCAAAUUGAGUGAGCCUGAGAAAAACCGCAAAUUGACUGACCUCCUUGAUGCAUUGGAUUUCAACCAAGUUGUUAUUUUUGUAAAAAGUGUAAGCAGAGCAGCUGAGCUGAACAAUUUACUUGCUGAUUGUAACUUCCCCUCCAUCUGCAUUCACUCUGGAAUGCCGCAGGAAGAAAGGUUGUUUGGACUUCAAGGUAUCGUUUGGUACGUGGGAUGGGACGGAAGGCACUUGUCCCAUGUUUGGUGUGCCAAUUUACCUAGGACGCGCUGUCCUGUGGAAUGGAGUGGGAUGGGACGCACUUGUCCCACGUUUGGUGUGCCAAUUUACUUGGGACACGCCGUCUCAUGGAACGGAUUUUAGUCAAUUUUUUGUGCCACCCUCCCCUCGGAACGACUUGUUCUAGCCCAUGGAACACAAAAGUAUAACUUUUUGGACAACAAUACCCCUCCUUUUUUUCAUUAAUUUCACUAUCUACCCUCCCUCUCUCUUGUAGCCUCCUCCUGCUCCACCACAAACCCAGAAACCCAAGCUAACCCAAUCCCAACAAACCCAUCUGAACCCAACCCCACGUUCCUCCUACUACCUCCCUCCUUGCUAGUCCCACGAUGAGACCGUUGCCCUCUGCCACGAAAACCUCAAGACCACCCACUCACAGGACGUGGCCGACGCCGUCGCACGAGGGAUGGGACAGCGAGGAUUAGGCGGAAGAUGUGAGGGAUGAUGUUGAACUCGUCGACGGUGGCUCAGGCUAAAACGUUAUAAGAAUUUCAAGGAGGGGCUUUCAAGAAUUCUUGUGGCAACGGAUUUAGUAGGAAGGGGAAUUGACAUCGAGCGUGUUAACAUUGUUAUCAAUUAUGACAUGCCUGAUUCUGCUGAUACCUACUUACACAGGGUUGGCAGAGCUGGUAGGUUUGGUACCAAGGGGUUAGCAAUUACAUUUGUCUCUUCUGCAUCUGAUUCUGAUGUUCUUAAUCAGGUCCAGUCAAGGUUUGAGGUGGAUAUAAAGGAGCUUCCGGAACAAAUUGAUACUUCUACUUACAUGCAAGCGUAAUCAUUAUCCGAAAGGAACCCUGCAAAAUUCAAAGGAUGAUGGACUGCGGGAUCCAGUGUCCUCUGGUUCAGUUAGUACCAUUUUGUUUUGAAUGUGGACUAAUUAAUUAUUACAGAAGAGGAUUAGGAUGCUUUUGUUAUAGGGAGCAGAUAAUCUGUACGAUUGAGCUUUACAUGAAUUGUUUAUGAUAAUGCGAUGGUAGUCUUAUUAACUUAAGAUUUCUCUCUAAAAUUUAGGCUCAAUUCGUUUCCUGUAUUUUUGUUUGAUGGAUAAAAUGAUUUUAGUAUUUUUGGAUCUUGUUAAUCUCAUUUGACCCCUGUACAAUUUGAAGUCAAUAAUUUGUUUAUGGUAA